AAUGAUAUGCCUGAUAAAUAGGAUUAUUUUGAUAGAAUAAAUUAUAUAAUUUUAAAAAAUUAUUAUCAUUA
rnacentral:tRNA from 1 species